ensembl:lncRNA
AUUCACUAACAGGACACCUUCAGCAUCUCGGUUAAACGCAGGACGGCACAUACAGGUGUGACAGCACAACCCGCACAGCAGAAGCAGGCAGGUAAAGGGGACCGUCUGCAUCAGCUUCAUUAAACAAGGCACAGCAACGCUCACUGUUGCUUUAACUCUAACGAAAGCCUGCUCAAUUCAAGGUACCCAAGCUGCCCCACGUCCUGCGUUCAGCCUUCUCCCCUCCCGCCGCGCCUGCCAACAGGCCUCCCCGCCAAAGCCCAGGACAAGAGCGGUCCGGGGCAGGACGAGGUUCCGGCUGCGCCAGUCGCGGAGGAACAGGCCGAGAAGAUCCUGGCCUGGCCGCGCCUCACCGCCCGGUACCUGCGGGCCCCUGAAAUCCGCUGCCGCCUCCGCCGCUCCUCUUCCGCUCCGGAGCACUUUUCCGUGCGUCCCGCGCGCCGCCGCCAGCCCAGCACUGCGCAGGCGCCGCGCCGCCGAUUGGCCGCCGGCCGCUCCUCCCCCUGCUCUUUUUCUCCCUCCUCCCGGCCCGCUGUCCGGCUCUUCUCUGCCCCGGGAGGUACCGCCCGCCUUCUCCCGCCCGCCUCCUGUCCCGCCCUGGGGCGAAGCACUGCCCGCGAGGCGGCUCCUGGCGGCCGGGGGCCGGCCUUGUUCCUGCUGGCUGCGCGUUGGUGCCGCUGUUUGCGUGAUGAAAGGAUGCGAUCUAUCCCGUGCAGAGAGGGAAAUGAGGGGGAGGGGAAGAAAGUCUCCAAAACCAACCCGUCGCGCUCCCAGCUAUUACUAUAAAAUUCUAAGUUUCAGGGUUGAUGCCAGUGAGGGUACAACUUCUUUGUACUCUGCGCCGUAAGCUUUCUGGAAUUGAAAGAGGAUAAUUUUAAACUCAUUUUGGCAAAGUGAUUAAUUCAGGCAGAGACUUUUUUUUUUUUAAUGAGGUGGUUGGCAAAGUUUUUGUACUGAUCCUUCCAUUAUUUUUUUUCCUGUAUUUUUUGUUAUACUAGAAACUCGUUGCCUAUCACUGGUUACAGGCAGCCAGACCGACAUGCUUCAUUUAGUAACCAGAUAAUGUGUUUAGGGAUGAGUACUAUCUCCUCAUGUAAUGGCAGAUUUCAUCCUGUAUACUUGAGAAUAAUGAAACAGGUGUCUUAGAGUGUGAUCUGAAGGACAAUUUUCAAAUGCAUUUAUAAAAAUUUAUUUAUAAUUGUCCUCUAAAUUGAAUGGAUAUACUUAAUAGACUGGUAUCAUAAUGAAAAUAUGGGUCUUGUUAACACUGAAUAAUUGAACUUGGUGGGAAGCCAGGAAAAGUUCCUAAUAGGUGUGCUACUUCUAGAAACCAUUAUUCUUUCUUUCUUUAUUUAUUUAUUUAUUUUUGGUCUGGCUUUGGGGAAGAUUGUUGCUGUGUAGCCUACAGGUGCUACUGCCUGCUGAGAAAUGGAAUAUGCAUGUGAUGAAAAAGUCAAAAAUGUAGAGGAUGAUCCCCAUGGUCAGAGAACACUGUGGUAUGUGGUUGAAAUUUGUGUUAUCUACCUUUGUGUUAAGCUAAAAAAAGGCAGCUAUCAGCAGGUGCAAUUAAAACAUAGUGAGAUUUUGAUGUUCUUUAAGUUCUGUGUUAGACAUGAACUUCUAAAAGAAAAAUUAACUUUAAUAAAGUUGUCAUGUAUGUAAAGAGGAACA